GUGGUGUAGAUCUUUUCUGUUUGUCAUUUCUCUGCAGUGCGUGAUGCUUUCACUUUAUCAGAAGUGUGUGCUUGGCGGAGCCCAGUGCCUGCGGGACGAUCGGGAGCAGCUUGGGUGUUUCUUUUUUAGUGGAGACCCGAGGUCGAGCACAGCUUCUGUUCAAGUAGCACUUUUACAGGGGAGAUUUCUCUCUCUGGCUGGCUGCAGCCAAGCUGGGCUUGCAUCAGAGUUUCCAUUCUAACCCUCCUCGUUACAGGGACGUAGAGAGGAGCCACCACCAUCCUCUUUGGGCUGGGAGCUGGGCAGUCUGGGCUGCUUUGUGGGGUUUUUGGCCUUUCUCCUCCAGUUUCGUACCAUGCGCAGCCGCAGCUCCCCAGGGACUGCUGCCACCCGCCUCCACUUGCUGCCGCUUCCUCCUGCCCCCCAAAAGCUGCAGCAGUCCCUGUGGUGCCUUGCAGGGAGCUUCAGGGUGCUGGGGAUGGGGUCAUUUCUCUGGGACCUGUGCCGGGCGAAGCCUUGCCACUCUCUUCUCUUGCCUGCCCCAUCUGAGUCCCAGCUCGGGACCAGCCGGUGGAGGUGACUACCAAGCAGGCAGGGCAACCAUUUGCUGGCGGGGCUGCCUCCCUCACUUCAGUGGGCUGACAGCAAGCGCUUCACUCUGGGGGGCAAGGUGGGUUCAUGGUGGGGAGGGCUGCCAGAGUGGGGGGUGUGGGAAGACACCAGAGGCCCCUGCAUUGGCUGCGGGGCACUCCCCACUGGCCUUGGCCUUGCUCUGGGUCCUGCAGGCCCAUGAGGUGCCUGCAUGGCAUGCAGCUGGCCCUGCUUGCUGGGGGCUGUGGUAACCCCGCUGUGGAUGGCCAGCCCCACGCACCCCCUCUGAAAAACAUACCCCACCUUGCACAGAGCCCUCACCCAGGCAGGGGUUUGAACCCUGAUGAGCCGCCUGGCAAAGGGGUGGCGAUGAUGGGAGGGGAGUGAUGCCGCUGGAAAUGGGUCCUCUUGGAGUUGGCAGGGGCAUUUCUGGGCACAGUGGAGGGGCUGCGGAGGCAGGAGCAGUGCUGGGCAUCGCUACAGGUGCCUCAGGACCCCACCGCAGGGUGUCCCGCGUCAGUCUCUCCAUUCCCCCCCUUCCUGGCAAAGCUUCUUGGAUAGAAAGCAGCCCUUCUGCUGUGUGUUGGCAUGUAGGGCACAAAGCAGUGGAAUUACUUAGCCCUCCCUGAGAGCUGCAGCUUAGUGUCGAAAGCCUCAGAACUGAGGUGCUGCUUGGGGGCGAUGAGAGCCCCCAGGAUUUGGGUGCCCUCCCCUGACAGGGAACACAGAGCGGGUUUUUAAGCAGCAUUGCGGCGAGUACGUAUCUUUCCCAGGUGAACUGCACCCCUGGAAAGAAGCGCCUCAUCUUUUACAAAAUACUGCUUAAAUAAACAAUGACCCGCUAUAAUUUUUCCUUUUGAAAUUAACUCCUUCAGGCCAUGAGGCUUACCCGUACCCGUGCAAAAUGGUUCUAUGGAAACAGCUGCCAGGAAUUUCAAAGGGAAAAAAAGAAAACAAAAGUGUCUGGGAGAGAAAAGUUUAGCUUGUCAGGAGAGAGCCUGUAAAUCUCUCCCCUUCCCCGUGGCAGUCGGAGAUGGGCUGUGAGAGCAGCCUGCCCGUUUCAGAGCUGGGUGCUGCCACACAAGUGUUACUUAAAAGGAGUUCUGUGAAUAUUGAUGCCUGUACACUGAGGCCAGGCUGCACACUGUGCGGGGACAGCCUAUUCCCUGGUUGAAUUGGACUAUCUUGUUUUCUAAUCUAACCUAGUUUUUUUCUGUUUCUUUUCUUCUUUUUUUUUUUUCUUUCUUUUUUUCUUUUUUUGUUUUGUCAGAGGUUGGUGCUUUGCGGGAACCUGUUCUCAGUGCAAUCUCGGAGCUUUUUGUGGGUGUCUAAUUUCUGUAACAUGUUUUGGUUUCCAGUAUGAAUGUAACGUACAAAAAAUAUCAUGACACUGCUCUAGGUGUAUGUGAUCUUAUCUACCUGACAUUUAGGUUUUUUUUAACCGUCCGAUUCACCUGAUUUGCAUAAAAAUCACAUGAUUUUUUCUUUUUUUCCUCCUUUUUUUUUCAUGCAUCAUCAUAACAAACUACUCUAGUUUACCAGGCUGUUUUCUGUCUGUCGGCAUGAAUGCAGUGCUCAAUUCUUUCCCCUUCUUUCCUCCCUGAUGGAGGUUUGGGAUGUUAAAGGUAGCACCUGGAGGGGACCUGUGAUCCCAGUCAGCCACGGGAAUCCGUAAUAAGCAAACAUAUACGGUUCAACUUCCAAGAAAACAAAGCAGCUGAGCACGCAUCCCAUUCGGUUCUUGUUAAUUAAAAUAGAUGACAUUUCUUUUUUAUUGAUAAGGAAACUCCCCCGGAACAGUCCCCCCGAUCCCAGAAGGCUCCCCCUGCCGCCGCUGUCCUCAUUACAAAACAAGGCCGCAAUUAAAAUAAACUCCAAGAGCUAAACAAACUGCUGCCUCUCGCUGGUCAUGUGUUAACUUUAGCUUUUAACGCAGAACAAAAUGUUUUCCCGGGUAUCGGAAGAGGCAUGGGCUCUGGCUGGGAGGGGAAGAGGGAGCAGCAGCCGGGCGUAUGGAAAUGGCAGGGAGUGGAGCACUGCGAUGCUCAUCGGGGCUCCUUUUUCUUGCCUUUUUUUUUUCUUCUUUUUUUUUUUAUUGGAGUGUUUGUGAUCUGGCUUGGUCUUUACUGCGAGGGAAAGCACUGGAAGUAGAAAAACUUGAAUGUCAUGGUAAAGCCUGGCUGUUCCAGCACGCCUUGGGCACACCUGACCGUACCUCACCCCUGCCCAACCCGGCUCCAAGUCAGCCCACUGACCGCUCGCUCAUCCACAAGCCCUUGGCCCAAUUUGUGUUGCUCCUAUCAUGCAUUGUGCAGAGGCUUUAGGCAACCAUAGGUACCACUCCACAUCUGCUGGCAUCUGCAGCUGGACUGAUAUGGGAGGGGGAAUGACAUGGGGCAUCCCAGAGAACAGGACCAGAGGGACGGAGCGAUGGAUGGAGGGAGGGACCGCCAAAGGCUGCAGAGGGGCACAUGGCUGGCUGGUCCACAGGUCCUCCAUACAAUGAUACAGCUCCCUGCACUGCCUGAGAGCAUGCUGUUGCCUCCAUGCCAUGUGCAGACACCCCAUCUGAGGUUACAAAUUGCACUCGGACCAAAAACGCAUGAGAAGAACCACUCCGAUGACAGAGGAGUGCGCAUCCACGCCUCUCUCAGAUAAAACCCCAGGAUAAUAUUCCUGCAAAAUUGCCCAAAUAACUGGCAUAUCUGCUUGGCUUUCACUGCUGGGAGACAGUGCAGACUUGCCUGUCAAAAAUUACUUUCCUCCCACGUAGGCAAAGGAGUAAGAUAUCUACCUGUCUUUUUGCCUAAUCUCCCAAACACUGACUGCAAGUAAAUAUCAGUUACCAGGAGGUGCACAAGGAUCAUUUCUGUACCACUGAACACCAACAGCCUUGUGCCAUGUCUGCACCAUCUUUGAGUUAAAAGGGAAACUUCAUCCAGAAGUUUUCCAGCCACAGAUGAUUAACCUCCCACUCCUCCCUGGUCCUGUCAGUUUUUAACCAGUUAUGGACCAAAGCCCAGCAGUGCUUGGUGGGGCUGUGCUGGUAAGGGGUCUCCUGGCAGGGUGCAUGGUGAGGGAGCCUUCACCCAGCCAGUAUCCCCAGCCUACUCACUUGCUUGUCCCAAGAUCUUGUCAUCCUGGUGCCUACGAAGAUAUGGAGCGUGUGACCUGUGGAAGCUGAAAAUCCCUGGCCCGUGGCUGAGCUGCACCACUGACCUCUUUCCUGUUCAGCAGAUCUGUCAACUUUCAGCUGUCAAGAUUAAAAAAACCUGACUAACCCCUAAAGAUACUUCCCUGAUAAGGAGUUGUGCUGAGAUAUUUCAAACUUAAGAAUCUCCUCGGCUCUUCUGAAUUUUGCAAUUUAUUUCUCCUUCCUUCUGCCUCAAGAAAAAUACUUUUCAUCUGAAAACAUGAUACCUUUUUUUCUUCCGAGCCUCCUUGCAAAUUGCCUCGCUCUCUCCAGACAAGUUUCUAGGAUCAACAAGUUAACCUUCAGAAAGAUUACAAAGGUGCAAGUGGGCUGCUUAAGAGGUGAAUCAUUAAACAUAAGGUGAAGUAUACGACUGCAGAAGGUUUCAAUUAAAGUGACAGUUCGGGCAGCCUUUGCCUGCCUAGGAAAGGUAUGCUUUUAUUGUCAGCACCGCGUUGGAAACUGUAUGCAUCCUGGGCAGGAAGGGUUGGUUCCCCCCAGCCGUGUUCUGCAGUGCCAGAGCUGCUGUUGGUGCUGCGGUCCUCGCUCAAGCAAACAACUGCACCGGUUUCAGAGUGAUAAAUUCAACUGUGACAGCAUUAAAUAUGGGAAAGGGGCCAGAUCUCCUUUCUGUCCCACCCAGGAUGGAAUGAAGGAGCCUGCUUUGGACAUGCCUUCCCAGAGGCUUCACCCAAUGCUCCUCACCACCCUGGCCUGAGGCAAAGCAGGAUCAGGCCCACAACUUUCCCCAUUACUUCCCCAAAUCCUGUUUGCUUCUACUUAUUAUUAUUUUUUAAGGUAGCUUUGUUUUAAUAUGACAGUAUAUUUAAUAAGCAGCUCCGGGGUGAAGGCAGGAAUGCAAGAUCCUUCCUGAGUGAUGGAAAUACCGCAGUUGUGCUGCCUCGUCCCACCAUCCCCAUGGCUGCUCAGAGUGGGGCUGGCAUGUCGGCACCUCUGGCCCCCUUGCCAAAUUUCCCAUGGGUGCCCAGGGACUGUCUGCCCCCAUGCAGAAUCUACAGCUAUGAGCAGAAGGCAACACAUGGGUGACCAGUCCACAGGCAGCUGCCUCUGCUGUCUGACCUGCAUGGAGGCAUCCUGCAUGUUUGGAAGGGGCACAUGCAACCUUGGGCUUGUUUUCCCUGGCUUUAGGGAGUACAGUCGGCAUGGUGGUGAGGCAGGAGGUAGAGGGGGUCAGUUCAGCUGUUCCCCUGACCUGGAGCAAUGUUGUGACAUUUUUCUGGCACUUUCCUGGUUUAAAUUUUAAGUAUUUCUGGGAUUUGUAUUUUGCCCCAACAUGUUUCCAUAUGGCAGCCCUGAGUGUGGAUGAGAUCCUCUCCACAAGGAUGUUCCAGUGAUUGGGUUAAUUCCCUCCUGCUAAUUCCUUACAUAAUCAUGUGGGCUCGGAUCCUCAAAAGUAUUUGUGUGCCUCCCUCCCUUGGAAAUCAGGGAGUUUAAUUGUCUGCUAAAAUUAUUGUGUUUUGUUUUGAAAGCAGAACAGGAAAUAACAAACUUGGAUUUUAUGAGAUUUGCCUCUUUGUGGCCACAGAGCAUUUUAUCUACCUUCACAAACAAAUUCACAGUUAGAUGGUGAGGUGCCCAGGUUACAUAUGGAUUGUUAGAAUGUGACCAGUGGUAAUUGGGUGCCAUCAUAGGUUAGGGGAGCUGGGUCUUGGCCUGUUGGUGCUUCUGGUCCCAGCUGGUAAAAUGCAUAUAGGACAAUGACACGGUCUUGCAAAGACGCUGUAGGGAAGAAUCCAUUAAAGACUGUGAGAUGCUGAGAUAGGGGGAUAAUAGAGAUCACGUCAGUGAGAGAUGCCAUCUAUUACAGAUAACGAUUGCACAGCUGACUGCAUCUCCCUCUCUGGAAAUGGCUCCUUUCUUAGUUUCAUUUUUAGCUACAUGACCCAAAAGAAUUCUUCUCACUCCUUGGCAUUUGUCCCCUUCAGAUAUUUCAUGCAACACGGAAGAAGGAGUAAUCAAAAUACCGUGACAUUGAAGUUUAUUGCCGAUCCUGCUUGUGUCGGUUGAAAUCAGUUGCUAAAUCCUCAGCCUGCAGGACCCCGUGCUCUGUAUUUUUCUUGUCUAGGUAAUCACGAUGGCAGCAGGGGGAGGUAAGUAUAAGGGAAAGGACUGAUUUUAUUAGGUGUUAGAAGAGCUUAUUAGAAAAGAGGCGGGGGGGGAAAGCAAUAAAAUCGUAAAGACAGGAAUUAAAACAGUGAUAAAAUCCUGUCCCUGCUGACUGCAACGCGACACUUCUCAUGCACCCUUUCUCAGUCUGGAAGAUCCCCAAGCAUUGAUAAACAUUUCAGAAGAGCCCAAUUCCACAGCAGCAAGCGGUGAUGAAUACCAGGAGGAAAAAUUCUCGGGUGCCAGAAUCAUCCCGGCAGCUUCAGAGGCAGUGUUUAACCUGCUGCCUUGCAGCCUGUGGGCCCUGUUUGGGUUUGUUGUCAGUGAGCAAUUUAGAUUCACAGUAUACCUGGGUUAUAUUUAGGCCAAUUAAAUUAAUUGCUGGAACAGACAACCUUUUUUAUACCCAAGGCAGUUUUUGCCCCCCUUCUCGAUACCGUAGGGCUGAUGUAGUGAUUCUGGAGCUUUGGUCUGGCAGUCAGAGCAUGUGUGUAUUUUACGUUAAGAAACAGCAGCAGGGAUGGAUGCUGCUAGACAAAUAUUUGGUUAGUUUUUUUUAAUUAUUAGUAAUAACAAUACACUGCUCUCUCAAACACCUUUCAUCUCAGAGCGUUUUCAAAAUGCAGGUAAAGCCAAGCCAGGCAACUCUGCUCUAGGGGCUGUAAUUAGCUUUAGUUCCACUUUGUAGAUGUGGAAAGUAAGACAGAAGGAGGUGAGAGGAUCGGAGGUGAAGCAAAGCCAGGGAGCAGUGCCCUGAGCAGCAGCCAGCAAUGCCUGCCUGAGGCAAAGCUCCAGCCACCGUCAGGCUCUUGGUGGACCUGUCCUGUAAGGCAAGCUCAUUUUGCCAUGCUGUGCUGAUACUCAAGCCAGCUCCUGAGCCACGAGCCUCAACUUUCCUUCCUGGGAGGUUGAAACACACCUCGGGCAGGAGGAUAUCCCUUGGUCAGAUGGUUUCAUGCUGUUCUCCUUCGCAGCCCUCCUCGUGCCUGGGCUCCACACACAAGAAACCCACCAAAUGGAGAUGGUUCCUCAGUGACCAAGAAGAGGAGGGACCUGGUAGCCUUUGGAGCCUGGUCCCCACAGCUCUGGGCUCUCAUAUCUUCUUUGGCAACUACAAACUCACCAGGUUGUCUUUUUGACUCUGGCUGCCUGUUGCAGGAUCUCUUUCCCCACAUGGUCAGCGUGCUUCUUCCAAUUUCUAUGUUUGUUCAUAGACUGUUGCCCCCUCCACCGUGCUUAUGUCAACUCUGUACGCUCUAGGUCCCUUGGACAUCUGUGCCCAGGCUGUGUUUGUUUUGUUUCAAAAUGGGUAGAAAGCUCAAAAAUUUGGGAUUAUGUCCUAGGUAAUUUGAAAUCUUAUUCCAGAAUAAUUUAGUAGAUGUCUGCCCAUUUCUGACUGACUGAUCCCUUUCCCUCUUUUUGACCCUGGAGCAGAGGUAGCAGAAUGCACCAUGUUUCCUGGACACCAACCUGGCAGUCUGCCCUGUGGUCUUAUCAACAUCUUCUUCUGCAGUUAUUUCAUGGGUCUUUGGUUCAUGACCCUUGUUGGAUACAGCUGUGGUGGCUGAAAAGGUUGCCAUUCCACUCAUGGAUGUGGAGGACACAUAUCUCAGGAGAUUUCAGCACAUGGAUAAGUCUCUCCUGCUGUGCCAAGAUUUCUGUGUUCUUCAUUUCUCUUCCAUCUCUUAUGCCACAAAGUCAAGUGAAUGUCUUCAAGGAAAUCUCAGUAAUAAAACCUAUUUCCUCCUCUCUGCUGCAAAGAGAAAGCAGAGUAAUAGUUUCUUUAUCCAUCAGGGACUGGUUAAUGCCUCACUCCUCAUCAUCACCAAAUGCAGCUAAUAAAGGAGUAAAGGAGAUUUGGCAGUUUAAUGCAGCAGCUAAUUUUGUGCCUGCUGCCCUGCCAGAAAGUAUUUUCACUUUUGGGUGAUGCCAGAAUAGCAGAGCUGAUUAAUUAGCCUUCUCUUGAGCAGGAAGAGCUCAGCUAAGAUGCCUCCAGCCCCCAAACAUCCCAGGCAUUAGCCAACUUUGCUAGGAGCUGGCGUUCCCAGUAUCUCAAGGGUUAAUCAGUCUGUCUGGGAGAAACAGAGCUUUCCCUCAGGAGGGAGCAGGUCUUUUAUACAGAUCAGGUAUAGCUGUGUCAUUGAGAGAACUGGCUAGAGAAAGCUCCUAGUACGUAGGUGCUGGCCAGACACCACCAAUGUGGUGGCUCACAGUGGGUCACUACACUCUGCGUUUGAGGGAGGCAGCGCAAAAACUUUCAAGUCCCUCUGUGACUCUGCGGAUUCAGCUUUGGAAGGGUCAGCACUGUAGCUGUUGCAUGCAAGCAUGGGGAUCUAUG